AGCCAGCAGCCGCGGUAAUACGUAGGUGGCAAGCGUUGUCCGGAAUUACUGGGCGUAAAGGGCGCGUAGGUGGCCUGUCAAGUCAGAUGUGAAAUCCCCGGGCUUAACCCGGGAACUGCAUUUGAAACUGAUGGGCUUGAGGGCAGGAGAGGAAAGCGGAACUCCCAGUGUAGCGGUGAAAUGCGUAGAUAUUGGGAGGAACACCAGUGGCGAAGGCGGCUUUCUGGACUGUACCUGACACUGAGGCGCGAAAGCCAGGGGAGCGAACGGGAUUAGAUACCCCGGUAGUCCUGGCCGUAAACGAUGGGUACUAGGUGUUGGGGGUAUCGACCCCCCCAGUGCCGCAGCUAACGCAAUAAGUACCCCGCCUGGGGAGUACGGCCGCAAGGUUGAAACUUAAAGGAAUUGGCGGGGGAC
rnacentral:rRNA from 1 species